GAUGAACGCUGGCGGCGUGCCUAAUACAUGCAAGUCGAGCGAACAGACGAGGAGCUUGCUCCUUUGACGUUAGCGGCGGACGGGUGAGUAACACGUGGGUAACCUACCUAUAAGACUGGGAUAACUUCGGGAAACCGGAGCUAAUACCGGAUAAUAUUUCGGACCGCAUGGUUCGAUAGUGAAAGAUGGCUCUGCUAUCACUUAUAGAUGGACCUGCGCCGUAUUAGCUAGUUGGUAAGGUAACGGCUUACCUAGGCAACGAUACGUAGCCGACCUGAGAGGGUGAUCGGCCACACUGGAACUGAGACACGGUCCAGACUCCUACGGGAGGCAGCAGUAGGGAAUCUUCCGCAAUGGGCGAAAGCCUGACGGAGCAACGCCGCGUGAGUGAUGAAGGUCUUCGGAUCGUAAAACUCUGUUAUUAGGGAAGAACAAACGUGUAAGUAACUGUGCACGUCUUGACGGUACCUAAUCAGAAAGCCACGGCUAACUACGUG
rnacentral:rRNA from 1 species